AGGGUUUGAUCCUGGCUCAGAUUGAACGCUGGCGGCAGGCCUAACACAUGCAAGUCGAGCGGAUGACGGGAGCUUGCUCCUGAAUUCAGCGGCGGACGGGUGAGUAAUGCCUAGGAAUCUGCCUGGUAGUGGGGGACAACGUCUCGAAAGGGACGCUAAUACCGCAUACGUCCUACGGGAGAAAGCAGGGGACCUUCGGGCCUUGCGCUAUCAGAUGAGCCUAGGUCGGAUUAGCUAGUUGGUGAGGUAAUGGCUCACCAAGGCGACGAUCCGUAACUGGUCUGAGAGGAUGAUCAGUCACACUGGAACUGAGACACGGUCCAGACUCCUACGGGAGGCAGCAGUGGGGAAUAUUGGACAAUGGGCGAAAGCCUGAUCCAGCCAUGCCGCGUGUGUGAAGAAGGUCUUCGGAUUGUAAAGCACUUUAAGUUGGGAGGAAGGGCAUUAACCUAAUACGUUAGUGUUUUGACGUUACCGACAGAAUAAGCACCGGCUAACUCUGUGCCAGCAGCCGCGGUAAUACAGAGGGUGCAAGCGUUAAUCGGAAUUACUGGGCGUAAAGCGCGCGUAGGUGGUUUGUUAAGUUGGAUGUGAAAGCCCCGGGCUCAACCUGGGAACUACAUUCAAAACUGACAAGCUAGAGUAUGGUAGAGGGUGGUGGAAUUUCCUGUGUAGCGGUGAAAUGCGUAGAUAUAGGAAGGAACACCAGUGGCGAAGGCGACCACCUGGACUGAUACUGACACCGAGGUGCGAAAGCGUGGGGAGCAAACAGGAUUAGAUACCCUGGUAGUCCACGCCGUAAACGAUGUCAACUAGCCGUUGGGAGCCUUGAGCUCUUAGUGGCGCAGCUAACGCAUUAAGUUGACCGCCUGGGGAGUACGGCCGCAAGG
rnacentral:rRNA from 1 species